CCUACGGGAGGCAGCAGUGGGGAAUAUUGGGCAAUGGAGGCAACUCUGACCCAGCAACGCCGCGUGAAUGAUGAAGGUCUUCGGAUGGUAAAGUUCUGUGAUGGGGGAUGAACAAAAUGACGGUACCCCAAUAGCAAGCCACGGCUAACUACGUGCAAGCAGCCGCGGUAAUCCGUAGGUGGCAAGCGUUAUCCGGAAGGACUGGGCGUAAGGGGUGCGUAGGUGGUUUAGUAAGUUGGCGGUGUAAUUCCGGGGCUCAACCUCGGCGCUACCGCCAAAACUAUUAGACUAGAGUGCAGGAGGGGUAAGUGGAAUUCCUAGUGUAGCGGUGGAAUGCGUAGAUAUUAGGAGGAACAUCAGGGGCGAAGGCGACUUACUGGACUGUAACUGACACUGAGGCACGAAAGCGUGGGGAGCAAACAGGAUUAGAUACCCCAGUAGUC
rnacentral:rRNA from 1 species